rnacentral:rRNA from 1 species
CCUACGGGAGGCAGCAGUAGGGAAUAUUGCUCAAUGGGGGAAACCCUGACGCAGCAACGCCGCGUGGAGGAAGAAGGUUUUCGGAUUGUAAACUCCUUUUGUUAGGGAAGAUAAUGACGGUAUCCCUCGAAUAAGCACCGGCUAACUCCGUGCCAGCAGCCGCGGUAUUAUGGAGGGGGCAAGCGCUACUCGGAGAUAUUGGGGGUAAAGAGCGCGUAGGCGGGGUAGCAAGUCAGAUGUGAAAUCCCAUGGCUCAACCAUGGAACUGCAUUUGAAACGGUUAGUCUAGAGUAGGGGAGAGGUAGGUGGAAUUCUUGGUGUAGGGGUGAAAUGCGUAGAGAUCAGGAGGAAUA